GAGAGUCCUGAAGGAACGUUGAAGACGACGACGUUGAUAGGCCGGGUGUGUAAGCGCAGCGAUGCGUUGAGCUAACCGGUACUAAUGAACCGUGAGGCUUAACCUUACAACGCCGAAGCUGUU
rnacentral:rRNA from 2 species